GACGAACGCUGGCGGCGUGCCUAAUACAUGCAAGUUGAGCGAUGAAGCUUGGUGCUUGCACCAAUUUGAAGAGCAGCGAACGGGUGAGUAACGCGUGGGGAAUCUGCCUUUGAGCGGGGGACAACAUUUGGAAACGAAUGCUAAUACCGCAUAACAACUUUAAACAUAAGUUUUAAGUUUGAAAGAUGCAAUUGCAUCACUCAAAGAUGAUCCCGCGUUGUAUUAGCUAGUUGGUGAGGUAAAGGCUCACCAAGGCGAUGAUACAUAGCCGACCUGAGAGGGUGAUCGACCACAUUGGGACUGAGACACGGCCCAAACUCCUACGGGAGGCAGCAGUAGGGAAUCUUCGGCAAUGGACGAAAGUCUGACCGAGCAACGCCGCGUGAGUGAAGAAGGUUUUCGGAUCGUAAAACUCUGUUGGUAGAGAAGAACGUUGGUGAGAGUGGAAAGCUCAUCAAGUGACGGUAACUACCCAGAAAGGGACGGCUAACUACGUG
rnacentral:rRNA from 1 species